CAAUAGUGAGCUUAAGCAAGUGACGUUUUUGACAACACGGACGUCGAGCGGAAGUAAAAUUGACGUUUUUCACCAAUCACAGCCCUUGACCCAGUCUUCUGACGUUACUCAUGCCGUUCGUGUUGUCAAAAACGUCACUUGCUUAAGCUCACUAAUAUGUGUUCGAAACGUUUCUGUUUGCUGUCUGAAAUUUAGAGAUUAUUGAAAAUAUUUCAAACAAUUUUGGACUGUUACUCGGUCAUUUUAGAGCAAUUUUAUAUGGUUAGCCCAACUCCUGACGUCAUCAAAACCAUAGUUAAUGAGGUCAAGAAUUAGUCCAAGAUGGCGGACACCUCAUUAAUUUCGGUCUGAAUAUUUCGAGAACUAAGCAAGAUAUGACAAAUUGGUAAUGCAGUUUACAGGUAAACUACGUGAAGCGUUCCUCUUUUGAGUUUCUAAAUUGAUUACAAUUUUCCUCAUUACUUUUGCAAUUUAAAAAACUCCCUUGCAAAUCCCUUGAGGAAAUUUGCA